AGCCUCAGUGCUGCGGCUCAGGUGGCGCUGUGGAAGCGAGACGCACGAGAUUACAGCUGUUGGAACGGUCCUGCGAUAGCACACAGUUGUUUCUGUGUUGCCAUUUCCCAUUUGUGAGGCGCAAGCGAGGCUUCACUUCUGCAGGCUAUCCGCUACACUGGAGCAUCUGCCAACACAUAUUGAAUCGAACUUGUGUGGGCUCACAGCGAUGGAAAGUCGAGCAAAACCAUACAUGGGUUCGGCGUAAUCUUCUCAGCCGGCAAGGGAGGAGCUUCACCAACCACUUCAGACUACGUCGACAACUGGACGCCCUCCUUGCUCCAAGCUCAGCGGUGAAGGUCUACCUGCGUAUUUGACCAGGAGUUACGGGCAGGGCCUUCACGAGUCCUGCGUUCUAUGCAUGUGAUAAAACAACUGUACAGUCCACCACCGCCACUCUGGACAAUAAUCAAAAACGUUUUUUACCAAGGUGUUUCCAGAGGGCUGCAGCCAGACGCAGCUGUUUCAGGAGGUGGUGCGGAAUCUACUUGAUGCCUUCGUACGUGGAGCCCAUGUGUAGCUCUUUGCGUGUGGCCCUACCGCUUGCCGCAAGACCCACACCAUGCAGGGUCCACCGCAUGACCCAGGAGUCGUGCAGCCCACCCUUGAAAGGUGUGCAAGGGGGCACCAGCGCGCCCCGACUGCUUUGACGACGUCCUCCAGCUCGGCGCAGAAGAGGAGGCCUCUGCGCUCUUGCGCAAAAGCAAAUUACUGGACGAUAAGGCGGCCCGCAGCACUGUGGACUUCAGCACCUUCCACAUGGCCUCAAAUAGCAGCGAUGAGUCGCUACUACAUAGCUGUUACAGCAAAUAUGACGAAGCACAAGUAUGCUUACCUAUUGCGCUUGUCUCGGCUUUAAGGGACACUAUAGAGACUAAUUGGGUUUAGACUGACGGCGUUCUUUUACAACUAUUCUCUUUGCUUUCUCAUUAAGAAAUUAACAGAAGAUGAAAACGCAACAUUGCAUUAAAACACUUUUGGCAAGUUCAGCACCGGCACGUUAGUGUGACCUCAUAGAUUCAAAGGUAUUUUUUCAUGCUCGGAGGUGUUAGGGAUUCAUGAAAUUUCCCUAAAGUUUCCAAGCUCAGUUAGUUAUUUAUAUUGGACUGUAGUCCACUUAACUGAACUUAACUCCCAUCAGCUGAGGCAGCCACAAAGAAGAAAUGCGGCCAGUGGCGCAACAUUGUCAAGCUGGGUGAUGACCGGGCGAAGCGCGCAUUUGUGCGCUGGCACAUCAAAGUGCCCAUGCACUCGGCUGAUGAGGCGUACCGGCUCUUCUGCCUGGCGCGCAACAACCAGACUUUUGCCGAGACUCGGCUCAACCGCAGCUCGAGCCGCAGCCACUGCGUCUUCAUGGUCCGGCUUGUGAGCUCAAGGUUGGAAACCCAAAACUGGCACGUCAACACAAUGAUGCUCUGUGACCUGGCGGCUUCGGAGAGACAAUCCAAAGCGGGCAGUAAUGGGUCACGGCUUCGCGAAGCUGACUGCAUUAACAACUCUUUGGUGCUGCUCAGCCGCUGCUUGGAGGGCCUACGUAACAAGGAUGCAUCCAAGAAGGAUGCAUCCAAUAAUUAAUACAGCCAAUGCGCAUCUGGCUGCACAUUGCCUGGCCUACAAGUGUGAACCACGGUUCCCUCAGCUAAACAUUCUGGGCAGAGGUCAGGAUACUACUGCUCGUGAACUUUUGGAAGCUUUUCCUAUCAGCAACAGAGGCAUGGAUUGCGCCAGUGACACGCCGAUCUGCUUAUUUGGUAGCGGAACACGCCUUCCUGAAUUUUCGUCUUCUUUGCUACGAAGAUUGUGUACACAUGCGCUAUGUUGUGUAUAUCUAUUCUUUCUUGUUUCUUCUGGGCGAACCAAUAAAUCUCUUGAGAGUUGCG